rnacentral:misc_RNA from 1 species
GAUGAAGAACGCAGCGAAAUGCGAUACGUAAUGUGAAUUGCAGAAUUCAGUGAAUCAUCGAAUAUUUGAACGCACAUUGCGUCCGCCAGCACUCUGGCGGGCAUGCCUGUUCGAGCGUCAUUUCAACCAUCAAGCCCCAGGCUUGCGUUGGAGCCCUGCGGCUGCCGCAGCCUCCUAAAAGCAGUGGCGGGCUCGCUAUCACACCGAGUGCAGUAGAUUACUCUUCGCUCAGGGCGUGCAGCGGGUUCCGGCCGUGAAACCCCCUACUUUUAAAGGUUGACCUCGGAUCAGGUAGGAAUACCCGCUGAACUUAAGCAUAUCAAUAAGCGGAGGA